rnacentral:rRNA from 1 species
UGCCAGCCGCCGCGGUAACACGGGGGGCGCAAGCGUUAUUCGGAAUUAUUGGGCGUAAAGGGCGCGCAGGCGGUCUUGUCAGUCAGGUGUGAAAUCCCGGGGCUUAACUCCGGAACUGCUCUUGAAACUGUUAGGCUAGAGUACAGUAGAGGUUGGUGGAAUUCCCAGUGUAGAGGUGAAAUUCGUAGAUAUUGGGAGGAACACCGGUGGCGAAGGCGGCCAACUGGGCUGUAACUGACGCUGAGGCGCGAAAGCGUGGGUAGCAAACAGGAUUAGAUA